AUCACAAAGGGGUCAGCCAGGAGCUAGACAAGCAAGCCCUCAGCCCUCGGCAAGACUCAAUCCAACUGGGGGUCUUGGUGACGGUGACAUCUCCAGGACAAGUAAUGGUGAUAGGUCCCGUUUUGUCACUCUGACAGCCCCAGUGUCACAGCUGGACUGAGAUACCCUGGAGGCCUGAGAACACAGAGCAAUUCCAGCAACCAUGGCUCUGCACUACCCCAUGGCCGUGGGCCUCAACAAGGGCCACAAGGUGACGGAGAAGAGCGUCAACAAGAGACACGGCCGGCCAGCGCAGCGUGCGCCUCACGGAGCACACCAAGUUCUUGCCGGCCAUGAUCCGGAAGGUGUGCAGCUUUGCGCCCUACAAGCGGCACGCCAUGGAGUUGCUCAAAGUUUUCCAAGGACAAGCGCGCACUCAAGUUCAUCAAGACUAGGGUGGGCACGCACAUCCACGCCAAGAGAAAGCGGGAGGAGCUGAGCAACGUGCUGGCAGCCAUAGGAAGGCAGCGGCCAAGGAUUGAUGACCCCUCCCCCAAUAAAAGAUCGUUCCUGCAAAAAAAAAAA